rnacentral:rRNA from 1 species
CCUACGGGAGGCAGUAGUGAGGAAUAUUUGUCAAUGGGCGCGAGCCUGAACCAGCCAAGUCGCUUGAGGGAAGACGGUCCUCUGGAUUGUAAACCUCUUUUUUCAGGGAGCAAAAGACGCCACGCGUGGCUUUCCGAGAGUACCCGAUGAAAAAGCAUCGGCUAACUCCGUGCCAGCAGCCGAGGUAAUACGGAGGAUGCGAGCGUUAUCCGGAUUUCUUGGGUUUAAAUGGUCAGAAGGCGGAAGAUAAAUUCCGCGUUAAAAUUGCGAGGCUAAACCGCUUCGAGCCGUUGAAACUGGUUGUCGUGAGUGAGUGAGAAGUAUGCGGAAUGCGGGGUGUAGCGGUGAAAUGCAUAGAUAUCACGCAGAACUCCGAUUGCGAAGGCAGCAUACCGGCGCUCAACUGACGCUCAUGCACGAAAGUGUGGGUAUCGAACAGGAUUAGAUACCCGUGUAGUC